rnacentral:rRNA from 1 species
CAAGAGUUUGAUCAUGGCUCAGGAUGAACGCUGGCGGCGUGCUUAACACAUGCAAGUCGAACGGGAUCCGACCAGCUUGCUGGUUGGUGAGAGUGGCGAACGGGUGAGUAAUGCGUGACCAACCUGCCCCAUGCUCCAGAAUAGCUCUUGGAAACGGGUGGUAAUGCUGGAUGCUCCAACUUGACGCAUGUCUUGUUGGGAAAGUGUUUAGUGGCAUGGGAUGGGGUCGCGUCCUAUCAGCUUGUAGGCGGGGUAAUGGCCCACCUAGGCUUCGACGGGUAGCCGGCCUGAGAGGGCGGACGGCCACAUUGGGACUGAGAUACGGCCCAGACUCCUACGGGAGGCAGCA